UACGGAGGGGUGCAAGCGUUGCUCGGAAUUAUUGGGCGUAAAGGGUAGGUAGGUGGUCUCGUUUGUCUGGGGUGAAAGCCUUGAGCUUAACUCAAGAAGUGCCCCAGAAACGGCGAGACUCGAGUACUGGAGAGGGUCGUGGAAUUCCCGGUGUAGCGGUGAAAUGCGUAGAGAUCGGGAGGAACACCAGAGGCGAAGGCGGCGACCUGGACAGUUACUGACACUCAACUACGAAAGCGUGGGGAGC
rnacentral:rRNA from 1 species